UGGGUGAAGAACGAGGCCGUGGUCGAGCGAGAGGAGAUCUGGGUGGAGAGGAAGGUGGAGCAUGUCCGACAACAUCGAGACCAGCAGUGUCCUUAACUGGUAGCAUGGAGGUAGAAUCAGAGGUAGACUGGCCCGCUGGAAGCCUAUUGGCUGAAAGGGCACGAGAUCUAGCCGCUUCUGAAGACAAAGUAGGAGGAUUCAUGGCUGUUUGCCAAAGGGGAGGUGACCAGCACAUCAUACCCAUAACAUUAGGAACAACCAAGAUAAUACCACCAGCAACUCCUG